UCACCCAUGAGUGUUGCUAAGCAAUGGAGAAAAGAUGAGGGAAAGGGAGGGUGUCUGACUUUAGGAUUAGGAGGAUGGAUAGAAGAUAAAGUAAGGCUUCUGCAUAGCUUUAUUUAGAAAAACUUUCAAGUUCUUUGUUUUUAUUGCCUGUCUUCCAAACUACUUGUACUCUGAUUAAUCAGGUCUCGUUCAUUAUCUAUCCCAAUGCACACCCAGCACAAAGAGAGGUGCUGCAUCCUGGAGCACUGGCACAAGCAUUUGAGCACCAGACCUGCCAACAUCUGUCUCUGGAUUUAACAGCAAGGAAUGAGAGAAGAAGAAAUCUUCCCUAUCAGCAGCAGCAGGGGUUGCUGCAGCAAGAUGAUAAUUCCCUCCUGCUACUCUGCUGACAAGCACCAAGCUGCACAGGAAGAGUGGAGCAUUUUAAUCACGGGAUUGAAAAAUGCAGCAGUUCCUAAAGCUUCACCUUACCUUGGCUGAUUUACAUUAAUUUAGGAUCAACCGGCUUUCAGUGGAAUAAUGUUAUCUAUGGAAGAUAACAGAGGAGGAAAAAUUUGGUGGAACUUCUUGUUUCCCUGUGCAUAAUGUGCAAGGAUCUAUGUAUAUAAACAGUUUUGGAGUGUCUUAGAUAAGCAAGGACUAUUGGAUUCCUUAAAAGAACAGUGCAAACUUGAGAGCUCCUUAAUACAAAAUGUUUUCUAAGUGCCACACUUUCAAAUACACACCAUUGAAAGGAUAAAAAAUACAUUAGCAACUGGCAAGUCCAAUCCAGUGUCCAUUGGAACCAUCAAAAACCCUGUCACAGAGGCCUCAAGAUUUUGGCUCUGGCUCUUUCAUCUUUCAGAUUAUCAUUUGUAACAAAGGCACUCCAUAAGGAGCUGCUAAGACAAAUGCAAAUCUUGUGUCAAAGACAGUCAAACACCCCCCAAAAUUAAAAAUUUGAGCACACAGCAGCUUACAGGCAGCAGCUUUGGGCAUGUGGCUCAACAUCUGCUACAAAAACACUAGAAAGCAGACCUGCGGCACACUGGAGCGGUGCCAGCUCUCAGAUUAUCCCCCUCCAAGGCUGUCAGGAGAAUGGACAGAUGGCAGCCGAUGCACUCGCAGGACAGUUAGCUCAGUUAACAAUCAAGUAUGCUAAAUGAUUUCAGAUUCACUCUGCACCAAGCAUUGUACUUUCCAGUGAACCAUUAACACUGUGUCCUAAUAGAAAUAUGGUUUGGUAUGAAGGAACUGGCAGAUCCUGUAUUUUACAAGACAGUUUCUCUGGAACAAUUUGUCAGGGAACAUUAGAUCUGCCUUCAUGAAUAAAGUGAGAAUCUGCCAAGUUUGCCAGGCGGGUUUAUUCAUAAUUUUAAUUCUGCAGUGUUUGAAGAGUGAGGAUGGAAACAAACAGGAAGAUGCAGGUCAGUUACCCACACAAGCUGCUCCCAGGGAUGCACACAGUGGCAGGCAGGAGGGGUGUUAGGAGCACAGAGGAUCUCACAUCACAGCAGCUGUGCCCCUGCAGUGCUGCCUGCCUGCUGUAGGGCAUCACACAGCUCUCCUGGACAGCACAGCUAUCACAAGCAGCCUGCUGGGUGACACACUUGUCACCCAAGUGAACAGAUGUGACAACUCAUCCCAGAAAGGCUAAUGGUUCUUGGGUUUAAAUGGGUAAAGUCCGUAAAAAAAAUUUGGCCCUCAUAUAUCAAGAGGGUAAAUAUUUCAGCACACAACAGACAGGUGGACUUUUGGCCUCAGCAGCACAAGAUACAUCUUUAAAUUCUUCCCCCUUAUGGUUAGAUACAAUUGCCUUUAAGGACGGUUGUAGACUUUGUGACAAAUUUAUUCUACUGAUUUACUUUUCCAUAAAUCAGCAGGGCAAGAAUAGUCGUUGAAAAAAAAUGUUUGUUUCUUCUCCCACCUCUACCCUCUCCUCCUGUUGCAUAUCACUUUCAUCUGUCCACCCAAAAUCCUAUGUGGGUAAACAGCUGGUCAAAAGUAUAAUAGAAUUUAUUUAUUACAUAUUUGGUUCCCAUGACCAUUUUAUUCAUCAUUGUGGCACCUAACAAACACCCUGAGAAAAUACCCAACCACCAGCCCUUUUCUGCCUGAAUUGGAAAAAUCCUUCAGAAAGCAGGGGAGAAACCCAAGAAAAACAAGUGGAAAAAUAGAAGGACAGGGAAGAGAGAGAACUUAGCUCUGUUAAAGGAGGUAGGAGUUGUGCCAUGGAUACCAGAAAAGCAGCACCUCACACUUCUUAUCUGUUAUCUCAGUUCCAAAGAGUAGGACUGAAGCAAACUGGAAAACCUAAAGCAUUUCCAGUGAACAAAUGAGUUCUCCACACAGUCAGGUAAGUGCCAGCUGGAGAGCAGCUGUGGGAAUCCAGGGCAUCCCUCUGGCUGCCCUGGCAGGUCUGGGACCCUGGCAGGGGUCAGGAACCCCCCUGGACAGAGCCCCCAGAGACACUGUCUGUGAUCUCUGUCCAUGGAAAAGAGUUUUCAAUCUUACAGGAUGAAUUACAAGCUCUGAGUGUUUGAUAUGAGUAAUAAUUAAGUGUGGCACGGGUGCAAAAGUAAAAUUUUAGGUUUUUAGAUAAGGGGUUCAAAGGGAACAAGAUGGAGGAAAUUGGGUGUGUCUUGUCCUUUUCCUCCUUCUUCAUGCCCUCCAUGUUUCACUGUAGUGUUGGCAUUUUUCUAUUGGUUUAGGCUGGGGACACACUGUCCAACGUAGGUGACAGAUAUUGGCACGUUAUUGUAAAUUCUGCUGUGACACCGGUUUUCUUCAGAGAUUUUCACAGGGCAUUGCCAAAGUUAUACCAGGAAAAUCAGCAACAGCAGGCAAAAACUCCUCUUCCCUGCUCUUCCCAUUCCAGUGUGGAAAGGAGCCACAAAAAUACCAGAGCAGGAGCAAGAACUCUGCCAGUGCAUCGAGCUCCUCAGCUGCCCUCCCUGCAGCUUUCCUCUCUCUUGAGGAGGUGAUGUUGUGACCCUGGUGUGUGAUCACCAGAGCAGGGAGUCAGAGAUGCAAUUUAAAAAAAUAAAGAGCAAACCAGUCAAAAAUGGAGACACAAGCAAUCUUAUUUUCUGACUCAACUUUAUGAAGAUCUGAUUAGACCUUAGUGAAAUUUAAUCUUUGCCUUCCAGAUCUUCUGAGACAACAAUAAAGAGCUCCUGAGCUCAUAAAGUACCCAGAGAGGAGAGAUACCACCCAACCAGGAAAAUAGCUGAGAAAAAUUAUUUUUCUUGGUACUAAUCACCAGGUAAAUCUGCAAAACAUGUCAUUAAAAAGUAAAUUAUGAAAAGCUACACAUCACUAUUUUCAAAUACAAGAAUACACUUUAUCAGACAAAGCAAUAAAAUAAUAUGAAAAAGACAAGACAAAUUAGCUACAGCAAUAAUUAGGAAUGCCAGACAUUCAGAAGAGAGUAUUUGUUCAAAUUGCUAAGAUAGUCAAGAGACAGAAAAUUUAACUCCCAGAAGUCCCACAGUGCUACCAUUUCUUUUUCCUUUUUUUCUACUAUAAAUUUACAGCAAAACCAAAUCAACCUACCAGAUAUAUUUUUAUAUUAUUAGUUCUUCCCCAGAACAAUUCUGCUUCAAAAACACUCAUUAAGCUGGAACUGGCAAAACCCAAAGUUCCAGUCUUUUAUUCUCAGCCAGAGGAUCCACAUUUCUCCAUGUCCUUGUAGCAGCUGUUCCUACAUUGCCUCAUAAGACAAAGAAAUAAGGGAUUUUUUUUUACUUUCCUCAAAACAUUUUUAUUUUCAUGGACAGAGAAUACCUCACAAGAGGCCACACUAAAUAUUGCCUCCUGGAUGUGCUCAGCACAGACCUACAGAGAGCUGUCACUGCAGGAAAUGCUGGUUUUUGGGUGUCAUGCCCCUCUGCCAGCUCAGCCGUGGCAAUGGCACCAAAAGAAGCCUUUCUGCUCAUUCAGCAUCUGGGGUGGAAUAUUUGCCAAGGGUUUGAUCUUGGCCCCUUGGUUUGUGCCUACAUUGCCCAGGAUUCCCAGGGGGUCUCAUAGCCAAACCUUUCCUACUUUGGGUUUGCUGAGCCCACCACAAGCCAUGGCACAGUGUAAAACCAGCAAAUCCUACAACUCUGAUGUUUUUUGGAUUCUUCCAGUGCUCUGCUUACAGUCCAACAAGAUCAGAUUUUGCAGCUUGCAGGAAAGAAAGCAAUUCUUACCAAAGUACAGCAAUCUGGGAAAUUAAAGCAGAAAAGGAGAAACCAGAUAUGAAUGGAUGGUAAAACUGUAUUUCCAAUCUUCUCCUCUAAUAAUGUAGUACAGCAGCCAUCUCCAAUGAACUCAUCAUACCAAACAAAGUGAUAUAUGCAGGAAAUAUUAAAUAUUAAAGAAACAAACAGAUGCUAAAAAAAUUCUAAACUAUGGAUGUGCAGAGUCAAAAUAAUUGAGGACGAUGUGCAUGUACUAAGUAGAGUUAAAAACUAGAGAUGGUAGAUAUAUAUAUAUGUAUAUAUAUAUAAUGCAUGUGUAUAUAUAUAUCAAUCAUCUAGGAACUCAAUUUAAUUUUUGCAUGCACUGAUUCUCCCAUGUCCUUAUUGUUGCUUAUAGAAUCCUUCACUUACUAAUUCCAUGUCUCAUACAGCCAUGCAAGAAAAACCUGGUUAUAUUGUAUAUAGUUACCCAGCAGAACGUCUGUGGAAUAAAGUUUGCUGAUUAAAAUCCUAUUUUAAUCAUGCAAUUAAAAAAUCUACAGUAAUACUGCAAUUACAAUACUUUUAAAAUGCAUCUGUGCAGAAAGCUAGAAGACUGGAAUGAAUAUGGUAUUCUGAUCUCUCACUGUACAAAUGUACAAUAAUUCUCAGUCUGUUCUUGCCUGGGCAAGUUCAGAGUGUGUGCAACAUUCAAGAUUAAUUAGAAGGAACACGUGUUCCUCAUGAAUGAUGCUAUGUCUAGUACUAUAUGUAAAUUAACUCAUGUCAGCAUGGGCCAUGUUGUGUCAUGAUUUUUUCCUUUUUUGGGAGAGGAUGUACAAUUUUUUGACUGUAAGUACUAUGUUGACUUUACAAUAGCUGUAGAGAGAUUUCAUAAAAAUAAAACAUUGGGCAAUAUGUAA